CCACAUCUCCCAUCAUUCCUUGCACAUCCCACUUCCGCCAUCUUUCCUCCCCUAUGGGCGCCGCCAUAUUUGUUUCCUCCAAAAUGGCGCCUCCCGUCGCUUCCUGCGCGCUGUGACGUCAUUUCCUCCCUAACAAUUUCCUCCCAAAUCUAAAAUGGCGGCUCCGGUUCGGGUCCGGGUCCCUCCCGGAGCUCCCCCGGAGCCGCUCCCGGUUCAGCUCCUGCCCUGCCGCAUCCAGCACGACGGGCCCGCGCCCGUGGCCGCGUUCCUGCGGGCCCGGCCCGGCCCCGACGGCGAUCUGUGGGCCUCGUUCCGGGGGCGCCGUUUGGGGGGUCGGGAGCUGCCGCUGCCCCCCGGAUACACGGGGGCCGUGCUGAGGGGGGGGGAGCCCGGAGAGACCCCGCUGGGGGACCCCCAGGUGAGACAGAGACCCCCAAAAUCCCUCUGUGGGGCAGAGACCCCCCCAAAUUCCUCUAUGGGGCACAGACCUCCACCCAAAAUACCUCCAUAGGGCAGAGACCCCCAACUCUUUUCCCCUCCUUGGGGGUCUCAGUCCCUCCCGGGGCAUCUCAGCCCCCCAAUUUCCCUUGCCAGGGGUCUCAGACCCCCAUUUUCCCUUCUUGGGCCCUC
rnacentral:lncRNA from 1 species